AUCGUUGCGCUUGGGACAAUGACACAUCUAAUGAGGUUCUAACCGAGAUGCGUCUAUGCUGGUUGAAAACUAUUUCUAAACCCCCUCCUAACCCUAAGUUUGUCUUGGGCCUUGGAGAAUUUUUGUAUUUCCCUUUGGGGU